CAGGUGUAGCAAUACAUGCUGACGAGUGGCGCACGGGUGAGUAACACGUACGCAAUCUGCCUCUGACUGGGGGAUAGCCCUGGGAAACUAGGAUUAAUACCCCAUAAUAUUGUGUUCCGGCAUCGGAAUGCUCUUAAACCUCCGGGGGUCAGAGAUGAGCGUGCGUUUGAUUAGGUAGUUGGUAGGGUAACGGCCUACCAAGCCAACGAUCAAUAGCUGGCGUGAGAGCGCGACCAGCCACACGGGCACUGAGACACGGGCCCGACUCCUACGGGAGGCAGCAGUAGGGAAUAUUGGACAAUGGCUGAAAAGCUGAUCCAGCCAUCCCGCGUGCAGGUAGAAGGCGCUAUGCG
rnacentral:rRNA from 1 species